UACGUAGGGUGCGAGCGUUGUCCGGAAUUACUGGGCGUAAAGCGUACGUAGGCGGCUUUGUAAGUUAGAGGUGAAAGCCCGGGGCUCAACCCCGGAAUUGCCUUUAAGACUGCAUCGCUUGAACGUCGGAGAGGUGAGUGGAAUUCCGAGUGUAGAGGUGAAAUUCGUAGAUAUUCGGAAGAACACCAGUAGGCGAAGGCGACUUGACUGGACACAUAUUGACGCUGAGGUGCGAAAGCGUGGGGAGCAAACAGG
rnacentral:rRNA from 1 species